AACGAACGCUGGCGGCAUGCCUAACACAUGCAAGUCGAACGAGAUCUUCGGGUCUAGUGGCGCACGGGUGCGAAACGCGUGGGAAUCUGCCCUUUGGUUCGGAAUAACAGUUGGAAACGACUGCUAAUACCGGAUGAUGACGAAAGUCCAAAGAUUUAUCGCCAGAGGAUGAGCCCGCGUAGGAUUAGCUAGUUGGUGUGGUAAAGGCGCACCAAGGCGACGAUCCUUAGCUGGUCUGAGAGGAUGAUCAGCCACACUGGGACUGAGACACGGCCCAGACUCCUACGGGAGGCAGCAGUGGGGAAUAUUGGACAAUGGGCGAAAGCCUGAUCCAGCAAUGCCGCGUGAGUGAUGAAGGCCUUAGGGUUGUAAAGCUCUUUCACCCGGGAUGAUAAUGACAGUACCGGGAGAAUAAGCUCCGGCUAACUCCGUGCCAGCCGCCGCGGUAA
rnacentral:rRNA from 1 species